rnacentral:pre_miRNA from 1 species
AACCUACUCCCUUCGUUCUGAAUUACUUGUCGCAGGUAUGGAUGUAUCUAGAUGUAUUUUAGUUCUAGAUACAUCCAUUUCUGCGACGAGUAAUUUGGAACGGAGGGAGUAGGCC